UUGGAGGGCAAGUCUGGUGCCAGCAGCCGCGGUAAUUCCAGCUCCAAUAGCGUAUAUUAAAGUUGUUGCAGUUAAAAAGCUCGUAGUUGAAUUUCGGGGUUCUACCGUUGGUCGGGCUAACCAGUCUGUACUAGCGUGUAAAAUUCCUACCUUCUGGAGAACCAUCAUGUUAUUAAUUUAGCGUGGUGGGAAACCAGGACCUUUACCUUGAAAAAAUUAGAGUGUUCAAAGCAGGCUUACGUCUGAAUACAUUAGCAUGGAAUAAUAGAAUAGGACGGUGGUCCUGUUUUGUUGGUUUCUGAAUCGCCGUAAUGAUUAAUAGGGAUAGUUGGGGGCAUUAGUAUUCAAUUGUCAGAGGUGAAAUUCUUGGAUUUAUUGAAGACUAACUUCUGCGAAAGCAUUUGCCAAGGAUGUUUUCAUUAAUCAAGAACGAAAGUUAGGGGAUCGAAGACGAUCAGAUACCGUCGUAGUCUUAACCAUAAACUAUGCCGACUAGGGAUCGGACGAUGUUAAAUUUUAUUGACUCGUUCGGCGCCUUACGGGAAAC
rnacentral:rRNA from 1 species